GUGUAAACAAUGAAUCAAUAUUAAUUUGUGAAGAUUUGUCGUAAUUAGACAGCUUGCACUAAGAAGAUUAUUAAGAAGAAAUGAUUUACGGAAGUAAAAUAAUCGGUCUGUUUGGCCGUCUAUCCAAUCGAUUAUUCUACAAAAUGCCGACAAAUCUAACUUUAAAGAGAAAUGUGGAAUCGCCCGUUAAUUUUAUGUUUUCUUCUUUAGCCAGUAAUACAAACAUUCUACCAAAGUUUAAACUUCCGGGUGUCAGAUACACUAAUAAUUUAAAUUUUAA
rnacentral:misc_RNA from 1 species